rnacentral:rRNA from 1 species
GACGAACGCUGGCGGCGUGCUUAACACAUGCAAGUCGAACGGAAAGGCCCUGCUUGCAGGGUACUCGAGUGGCGAACGGGUGAGUAACACGUGGGUGAUCUGCCCUGCACUUCGGGAUAAGCCUGGGAAACUGGGUCUAAUACCGGAUAGGAGCCAUUUUUAGUGUGAUGGUUGGAAAGUUUUUUCGGUGUAGGAUGAGCUCGCGGCCUAUCAGCUUGUUGGUGGGGUAAUGGCCUACCAAGGCGGCGACGGGUAGCCGGCCUGAGAGGGUGGACGGCCACAUUGGGACUGAGAUACGGCCCAGACUCCUACGGGAGGCAGCAGUGGGGAAUAUUGCACAAUGGGCGCAAGCCUGAUGCAGCGACGCCGCGUGGGGGAUGACGGCCUUCGGGUUGUAAACUCCUUUCGCUACGGACGAAGCUUUUUGUGACGGUACCUAGAUAAGAAGCACCGGCUAACUACGUG